GUCUAUUUAACAUGUUCUUUGACAAUUCCUUGUAACAUGGAUGCUUAUUUCCUUCAUGUGGAUGAAGUAGAAGUGGAAAGUGGAAGCUGAAUUAGUGAGGAUGACUCCUGCUCCUGUCAUCUCUAAGCUCCUCACACAUCUUUACCUGCACAUGAGGAAAAUCACUCCUGUAGAAUGCAGAUGUUCAGAGGGAGAUGAUGCCACAUCUGGUCCAGCUGAUGGAAGGUCUUGAAGUUCUGUGACUGGCCUCGACUGAAGAUGGUCGUCUCACUGGAUUUAAGGUUCAGAUGCUCAGUAACAAACUCCACCAAUGUGCCAACAAGGA
ensembl:lncRNA